AGAGUUUGAUCCUGGCUCAGGACGAACGCUGGCGGCGCGCUUAACACAUGCAAGUCGAGCGAGAACCAGGGCUUCGGCCCUGGGGACAGCGGCGAACGGGUGAGUAACACGUGGGUAAUCCACCCUCGGCACCGGAAUAGCCCGGGGAAACCCGGAUUAAUGCCGGAUGGCCCGUCGACCCUUCGGGGCUGACGGAAAAGGUAGCUUCGGCCUCCGGCCGGGGACGAGCCCGCGACGGAUUAGCUUGUUGGUGGGGUAACGGCCUACCAAGGCUCCGAUCCGUAGCUGGUCUGAGAGGACGAUCAGCCACACUGGGACUGAGACACGGCCCAGACUCCUACGGGAGGCAGCAGUGGGGAAUCUUGCGCAAUGGGCGAAAGCCUGACGCAGCGACGCCGCGUGAGGGAAGAAGGCCUUCGGGUUGUAAACCUCUUUCAGGAGGGACGAAGCCACUCGGGUUAAUAGCCCAGAGGGUGACGGUACCUCCAGAAGAAGCCCCGGCUAACUACGUGCCAGCAGCCGCGGUAAU
rnacentral:rRNA from 1 species